GCUGAUCAAGUGGGUGUGUGUAGCAUCUCUUCAGUACAGGCAAUUGUGCUGUCUGAUUGAGGGCCCCGCCCCCACACUGGUCAGCUGACGUGACGUUGGGGGCAGUCUGGUGCAUUUGCUGGACGUAUUUAAGCACCUUCCCAGCCCUUCAGCCAGUGGCCAUUUUCUAUGCAGGCCUUACAGCUGUCACUAGCUGUGGCCAUCCUACUCGCAUUCCAGAUACCUACCUGUACUAUGAGGAUACACUAUAAUUUUACUUUACCCAUGGUCGCUGUGCUGUCUGGGAGGGAUGCUUUAUGCGCUCUGCUGUUUGCCUGCUGGUCUGCCACCUCUGUCCCGGGACGGGCAUAUGUUUGGUCUUAACUGUAUUUACAUUACCACUUUGACAUACUAUAUAUCCCACUACAUCCGCCCCUGAUGAGUGUUUUUCAUA